UACGUAGGGUGCGAGCGUUGUCCGGAAUUAUUGGGCGUAAAGGGCUCGUAGGCGGUUUGUCGCGUCGGGAGUGAAAAACCCAGGGCUUAACUCUGGGCUUGCUUUCGAUACGGGCAGACUAGAGGUAUGCAGGGGAGAACGGAAUUCCUGGUGUAGCGGUGAAAUGCGCAGAUAUCAGGAGGAACACCGGUGGCGAAGGGCGGGGUCUCUGGGCCGAUACUGACGUGGAGGAGCGAAAGCGUGGGGAGCGAACAGGA
rnacentral:rRNA from 1 species